rnacentral:rRNA from 1 species
UACGGAGGGUGCAAGCGUUAAUCGGAAUUACUGGGCGUAAAGCGCACGCAGGUGGCUGAGUCAGUCGAUUGUGAAAGCCCUGGGCUUAACCUGGGAAUUGCAGUCGAUACUACUCAGCUAGAGUAUGGGAGAGGGCAGUGGAAUUCCCGGUGUAGCGGUGAAAUGCGUAGAUAUCGGGAGGAACAUCAGUGGCGAAGGCAGCUCGCUGGGACGUUACUGACGCUGAGACGCGAAAGCGUGGGGAGCAAACAGG